CGUCUGUAGUAACAACGAAUGGCAGGAAGUCAGCCGAGGCCAUAGUAGCGAAGAAGCUCCUGUAAUGGGAGUGGAGCGAAGGGC
rfam:Faecalibaculum rodentium strain Alo17, complete genome.